AUUGAACGCUGGCGGCAGGCCUAACACAUGCAAGUCGAGCGGAUGAAGGGAGCUUGCUCCUGGAUUCAGCGGCGGACGGGUGAGUAAUGCCUAGGAAUCUGCCUGGUAGUGGGGGAUAACGUCCGGAAACGGGCGCUAAUACCGCAUACGUCCUGAGGGAGAAAGUGGGGGAUCUUCGGACCUCACGCUAUCAGAUGAGCCUAGGUCGGAUUAGCUAGUUAGUGGGGUAAAGGCCUACCAAGGCGACGAUCCGUAACUGGUCUGAGAGGAUGAUCAGUCACACUGGAACUGAGACACGGUCCAGACUCCUGCGGGAGGCAGCAGUGGGGAAUAUUGGACAAUGGGCGAAAGCCUGAUCCAGCCAUGCCGCGUGUGUGAAGAAGGUCUUCGGAUUGUAAAGCACUUUAAGUUGGGAGGAAGGGCAGUAAGUUAAUACCUUGCUGUUUUGACGUUACCAACAGAAUAAGCACCGGCUAACUUCGUG
rnacentral:rRNA from 1 species